GCCGCAGCCCCAUCCCUGACCCCUCCCCCACGACCCGACCCCGGCGCCCACGCCGCCCAUGCUACGGUCCAGGGACCCCCGCCGCACCCUGCCCUGCCGCCCAACCUUCGACGCCGCGCCCGAAGAGGGCCGUGCGGUGCUUCGCCAUCCCCACCGUGAUCGGAGUGCUGCCUGCGCUCAGGGGCGGGCCACCGGCCUCCGCGCCCGGCGUGCGGACAGGCCGCCGAGAGCCGCGGGCAUCUGCCCUCAGGGGCGGGGCAAAGGCCUCCGCGCCCGCCGCGCGGCCCUCUGGGGAGGGACAACGGCCUACGCGCCCGGCGUCCUACCCGGCCGCUGUGCGCUGCGGGCGGCUGCCCUCUGGGGCGGGGCAGAGGUCUCUGCCCCCAGCGUCCGGCCCGGCCACCGUGCGCCGACCAGGGACGCCCUUGCUGCGGUGGCGCAGGAAAUGGAGGAAGGAGCUGCACAUCGCCACCGUAGCGGGAUCUGGAGGGGAGGAAGGACGCACGCGCGCCGGCGCGCCGCUGCUCACCUGCGCCAACGCCGCUGCCCCGCGCGCAUGCCGUGGGCUGUGGGUACCCGCGCCGGCCGCCGUAGCCCCACGCCGCUCCCACGCCGGCGCAUGGCGCGGCCGCGGCUGCCCGCCUAUCCUGCUUCUGCGGAUGCCUGCACCGCGCCCGUCCGCCGCUGCGCCUGCCGCCAAGCUCAAGACCCUCGACCCACACCAAGACGCCGUCGACCCACACCAAGACGCCGUCGAGGCACCGUACCCCCUCGCGGCCGAUGUGACCACGUUCUUCGAACAUGGCGGGCUCACCUUGGGGGUACGAACAAGAACCUCAUCAUCAACGUGAGUGCUACUUGGUUAAUUUCAUGCUGACAAAACUUUUUGCCCCAUUUCUUUUCCGGUAUUUCUUUUGAUUUUGCCAGCAAAAGGGAGAUUUGCCGUCGCAUCCAUAGAGUAAUUUAGGCAGCUUCGCGAGCUACAACCACAAAGUCCAUAAACUUCAACACAUGAUUGGUCUUUUUCCUUGUCAGGACAAAGAAGAGGCAAUGAUUGAGUUUCUGUGAUUAGUAAUUGAGACAAACCUGUUAGGUGCAGGGGAAUAUGUGGGUCUUCAUUGAUGCUCCUUUCCUGAUGAAAAACUUGGAUUUAGGUUAUGGUUGAUUUAAUUGGAUGCUCCUUUCCUGAGAUUUUGAGGUUUAUUUUUUUCAGGCUAUGAACAAGGGCUAUCUGAUGUGCUGCCGACAUGAAAGAAGCCUACGGUUGAGGGUAGAGCUUUGAGUGGAUCAGGUUUUGGAGCAAAAAAAAAAGCUUCAGGUUUCCCAAGCUGCCAAGGUUGUGACCAGCAUUCACUUGUAUGCCUAUACAGGUUUCCCAAGCUGCCAAGCUGCCGAGGAUACAUAGCCUCAACUGAAGGAAAGCUCCAUUCAAAUAUGCAUUCAUUUAUCACAACACUUCCAUCAUGUGUUCAAAGUGCAUAAGUAUAGCGUUCGGUCACGUUCAGAGUUGAUUUAAUGGAAGAUUGAAGCCUCGAUGACAUCAAUGAACACAAAGGGACUGGACAACGUCAAUAGCUGCAUCGGCGGUGAAUCCCGAGAUGAUAUAAAUGACCGGUGCUUACUGAACCAGAAUAACAAAAGCUGGAUGCACUUAGGAUGGAAGCACUUGAGUUAAGCACUGCACAGAAAGAAUCGGCAGUGGACUUAUCUUGCAGGCCAGGUUGAAUGCUGAUUGCCCCUCUAGCCAUGUUGAUUGCUGAUUGGCCCCCUACAGUGGCAGCUGGUCCUGGAUGUGUGCUGGUGAAGGUGACGGCGAGGCAAUGAAGCUGUGUUCGGCUAAGCUGCUGCAACAGCAGCGAGAACAGGCCAUGGCUGACAACUUGUAAGGGCAUCACCAGAUAAAGGAAUUGAUUGCAGAAGCAUGGAGCUGGGAUUGCCCAAACUGCAGUCAUGUCAUUGAUAACAGUGCUAAGUAUAUCUUUGUCGAGUGCUCCAUCUCUGCACAGAUACAUGGCACAUGAUCAGAUAAUUGUCUGCCAACACCCAAGCUCUGAUAAUGAAGCCCCUCAAGCUGUGGACUCUAGUAGGAACAAUUGGAGAAACUCGGAUGAGCAUGAAAAAGCCAAAGUUGUCAUGUAGUCCUAGUGCUGCCACCAAGUUAGGGGCAGCUCGGCUUAGUGAUGCAACAUCAAUAGCUUAUGCCUAGGUAUUUGCUCCUAACCAAGUAUGGCCAAAAAGGAAUUCAUUUGCUGCUGGAAUUUAGGGUCGUGCUUUCCUUCAAAGUCCUAGCUGUUGAAAAAAUUGAAUAUAGAUGUUCUCAGGGAGAGAAGUACAAAGAUCAAGAACCAAGUGCAUCGAAUUUGUUUGAGUGCCUCUGUAGAAAAAAAAAGAGAAAUGAUACACCUUAUGUAUAGAUUGUCAUUGCAUGUUAGCUUUCAAAUACAGUUUAUUGCAAUUCUAGAUGAAAAAUUUUUAGGGGAUUUGAUGUUGUAUGUGAUGAAAUGCUCCAUCAAACAUUUAUGUGAUGAGAUGUUAAUUUAUUGUUGUAUCUUGGGUUGGGCUGAAA